GCACAAGCAGCGGAGCGUGUGGUUUAAUUCGAUGCUACACGAAGAACCUUACCAGGGUUUGACAUGCAAGUGGUAGGAAACCGAAAGGUGACCGACCCUUCGGGGAGCUUGCACAGGUGCUGCAUGGCUGUCGUCAGCUCGUGUCGUGAGAUGUUCGGUUAAGUCCGCUAACGAGCGCAACCCUCGCUGUGUGUUAUAUGUGUCACACGGGACUGCCGGUCUUAAGCCGGAGGAAGGUGGGGAUGAUGUCAAGUCAGCAUGGCCUUUAUAUCCUGGGCUACACACACGCUACAAUGGCCAGCACAGUAGGUUGCUAAGCCGCGAGGUGGAGCCAAUCCAUAAAGCUGGUCUCAGUUCAGAUUGCAGGCUGCAACCCGCCUGCAUGAAGAUGGAGUUGCUAGUAACCGCAGGUCAGCUAUACUGCGGUGAAUACGUUCCCGGGGCUU
rnacentral:rRNA from 1 species